GAGUGAACGCUGGCGGUAGGCCUAACACAUGCAAGUCGAACGGCAGCCCAGUAAGAGCUUGCUCUUACGGGUUGCGAGUGGCGGACGGGUGAGGAAUACAUCGGAAUCUACUUUUUCGUGGGGGAUAACGUAGGGAAACUUACGCUAAUACCGCAUACGACCUACGGGUGAAAGCAGGGGAUCUUCGGACCUUGCGCGAUUGAAUGAGCCGAUGUCGGAUUAGCUAGUUGGCGGGGUAAAGGCCCACCAAGGCGACGAUCCGUAGCUGGUCUGAGAGGAUGAUCAGCCACACUGGAACUGAGACACGGUCCAGACUCCUACGGGAGGCAGCAGUGGGGAAUAUUGGACAAUGGGCGCAAGCCUGAUCCAGCCAUACCGCGUGGGUGAAGAAGGCCUUCGGGUUGUAAAGCCCUUUUGUUGGGAAAGAAAAGCAGCAGGUUAAUACCCCGCUGUUCUGACGGUACCCAAAGAAUAAGCACCGGCUAACUUCGUG
rnacentral:rRNA from 1 species